UACGUAGGGGGCAAGCGUUGUCCGGAUUUAUUGGGCGUAAAAGGCUUGUAGGUGGCCACGCCAAGUCGGAUGUGAAAGCCCCCGGCUCAACUGGGGAGGGUCAUUCGAUACUGAUCGACUCGAAGGCAGGAGAGGGAAGUGGAAUUCCCGGUGUAGUGGUGAAAUGCGUAGAUAUCGGGAGGAACACCAGUGGCGAAGGCGACUUCCUGGCCUGUUCUUGACGCUGAGGCGCGAAAGCUAGGGGAGCAAACGGG
rnacentral:rRNA from 1 species